rnacentral:piRNA from 1 species
UAGGUCAGGAGAGCAGCGCAAAGGUGGAA